rnacentral:misc_RNA from 1 species
GAUGAAGAACGGAGCGAAAUGCGAUAAGUAAUGUGAAUUGCAGAAUUCAGUGAACCAUCGACUCUUUGAACGCACAUUGCGCCCGGCAGUAAUCUGCCGGGCAUGCCUGUCCGAGCGUCAUUUCUACCCUCGAGCGAGUCCAGCAUCUAGGUGCUGGGCCUCGCCCGGCGUUGGAGCACUACGGGAAGCCCUGUGCUGUCCCCCGUAGGCCCCGAAAUGAAGUGGCGGUCCUGCCGCGGCGCCCCCAGCGUAGUAUAACAGCUCGCUUCGGGACCCGGUGGAGGCCUGCCGUCAAACCUAUACUCUCUAAGUUUGACCUCGGAUCAGGUAGGGUUACCCGCUGAACUUAAGCAUAUCAAUAAGCGGAGGA